UUCAAUCCGAUUCAGCGCUUGGAGCUGGCGUCCAUGGCGCUCCGGCAGAACUCCCCCGCCGAUUUGCUAGGGUUUCUCGAUGAUCACCUCAAAACUCGCGAAGAUCUCCUCAAGCUUCCAUCCCUCGUUGCUCGAAUCGACCGUGAAUGCUUGGAUCUCGAGGCUGGUCUCCUUAGCCUUGAGAAGAACCUCUCAUGUGCUUUGGUUUCAUGGAUUUCUCGCUCUGAUGAAGUUAGGGAAGUUCUUCGCCAGAUCGAUCUCUCUCGAGAUGACAAUGUAGAGGGGGUGAGAAUGCGGAGAGCUCGGAAGAUGAUAGACAAGGAGUUGCCGCUUCUGGUGAGAGAAGUUGAUCGCAUUAAAGCAGUUCGGGCCUAUGCAGAGACUACAUUACAACUGGAAUUGCUUGUUGGUGACCUUGAAGAUGCAGUAAUUUCCAUCAUGAGUGCAGCAGUGAGUGGAUUGAAGCAUGAAAAGCUGUUGCUGGCUAUAAAUGCCACCAAGGACAUAGAGAAAGUUUUGGUGGAUAUCACGCAUAGCAGGCCUCGAUGGCUUCAUCUUCUUAUGGCUGUUGAUUCUAGAGUAGAAAAAGCUUUGGCCUUUUUGAGACCACAAGCUCUCUCAGAUCAUCGGGCUUUACUCGCUUCUCUUGGAUGGCCACCAUCCCUUUCAACGGCUAACAUGGAGAAGGAUAAUUACGAAGAUAUUCCAAAUCCACUCAUUCUAAUGCAAGGUGAGAAGAAGGAAAAAUACUCUCGGAGCUUCCUAGCGCUAUGCGCAUUGCAGCAUUUGCAAGCUCAACGUGACAAAAGGAAAAAUGACUUAGCCAAAUAUAAGAAGGAAUAUAAUUCUGUAAACAUUGACAAACAACUGUGUUCUCAUUCUGGUCUUUGGACAAUUGAUGAGCUAGUGUCGCCUAUUGCAUCAAGGAUAGAAUAUCAUUUCUUCAAAUGGUCUGAUGAGCCGAAGUUCAUUUUUGCACUUGUCUACAAAGUCACUAGAGAUUUCUUAGAAGGAGUGGACAAUGUCUUGCAGCCUCUGAUAGAUGAAGCAAGACUUGUAGGUUACAGUGCCAAGGAAUCUUGGGUCUCUGCAAUGGUGAAAAUGCUUUGCCAAUAUUUAGAAAGAGAAGUUUUUCCUGUUCUUGCAAAACCUGAAGAUUGUAGAGAUAGUAACAGAGAAGUGACCUCCUCGUGGAUUCAUCUGGUUGACAUCAUGAUCAGUUUCGAUAAACGGAUGCAAAUCCUUUCUAGUUCAGGAACUACAUUCAUGGGAGUGUUUGCAGGAUUUGAGGGAUUUUCACAGUCACUACCUGUGAUGUCAAUAUUUAGUGAGCAUUCCAAUUGGCUCCAAAUUUGGGCUGGAAUUGAACUCAAGUAUGCAAGGGACAAACUGAGGUCUGAGUUGGAGGAUGAGAGAAGCUGGGCCAUUCAUAUUGCGAAACAGGCCAGUCUUUCCUAUGAGGAUAGUGCUGAGUCCUUCCUUCUAUCUACCAGGGAGGACCAUAAAGCUCCAUCAAUUGCAGAGUCUUUUGUUCAACUGGCAUGGGCAAUGAUAGAGAGGGGCCGUAGUUUACCUGGCACAUCUGUGAGAACUGUAUUUGUGAGGUCUUCUGUGAUCAUUUUCUUUUAUGACUUCUUUCCACACUUAGUUCAGCGCUGUCAUGAAAUUGAAUCUACAGCUUCCAUCCAAGAGGAUGAUAUGGUGCUAAGAGUUGCUGGUUUAAUGAACGCUGCCCGAUACAUUGAAUGUGUGAUGCGGGACUGGAGCGAGGAUUUGAUAUUCUUGGAAAUGAGUGCUGCUGAAGAUGUUAUCACUGAGGUCCAAAAUGCCGACCAGUAUCUACAUAAUUGUUUUUUCAGAGAUGAAAUUCUGUAUUUGGUUAAGUUGGAGACUGAUUAUCUCGAGGAGAUUGUGUCAGCCCUUCUACUGGACUUUAAUGCCUUAUGCUGGGAUUACAUCCAAAAUAGUGGUCAGUGGGAACGAGUGGAUGACAAAUAUAAAGAUAAGGUUUCAGAUGAAGAGAACUUUAGUGUGUCUCCGGGUUUUAUUGAGGCAUUGGACAUGCUCAAAAAUCGAAUGACUAUUCUGAAAAUUAAUCUCAAUGUGAAGUACUUUCUGGAUCUAUGGAGAAGUGUAGCCGAAGGCCUUGACCACUUCAUCUUUAAUAGCAUCCCAUUGUCCCAAGUGAAAUUUUCUUCUUAUGGUGUCUAUCAAUUCAAAGCUGAUAUAGAUGCCCUUUUAACUGUUUUCAGACCCUUCUGUGCUAGGCCUGAAGCGUUUUUUCCUUGCACAAUGGAUGCUUUGACGCUGCUUACAAUGAAGAGGAGAGAUGUUGAUCUUCUUCUUAAAGUUCUAUUCAAGGGUGAGAAAAACAUCGACAAGUGCUUGCAGUCUCGGGGACUGUUUCAUGUCUCUGCAAGCCAAGUGGAAAAUAUUUUGUGGAACAUUAAGGUUGAGUGUACUACUGAUAAAUAGAAGGCUCUGUUAUACUGCUCUUUUCCUUUACAAGGAUUUCAGUCUGUCAGUAGCUUCACAUACAAAGGAAGUAGCACACUAACUCAGAGGUGUUGAACUAACAUGCAGUAAGUUUUUAAAAUGAACAGUGGCCUGGCAGGGUCAUAUGGAGAGAGCUACAAUUUAUGAUUGGCUAAUCAACAUGCUUGCCUAGUUGCCUUUGUGGGAAUCAAUUGGAUGAAAAUCCUUUUGAUCAAUGAUAACUCGAGGAAUGUGAGCCAGCUUAUUUCUUCCAUGUCCUUGGCACCACUCUGCAAGGAGAGGACAAUGCAAAAUAUCCAAAAUUUGAAGCGUUGGUGGCAGCUCUUGAUCAGGCAGGAAAAUAACUCCUGGACAAAAUUGUAUCUUCAGCUUUUCAAGAAAUACAAGUCUGCGAGAAACCAUUCCCAGAGAUGAAGAAGGCAUUGUGCUUUCCUGACAACCAUAAAUCUCCAAUUCCUUUAGUUAUAAUAGUUAAUGCAGAGGAAGUGAGCUCAGGUCUUUAUAUCCAUUGAUCUUCAAUGUCUGAAGUCUUGCAAGAAGGUCCUCUGGCAUUGAACUCCAUAUGUUUUCAUUAUAAUGGCCUCUGAUCUCCAAACAAAUGAGUGAUGGAAGACUGGACAGUGCUGUAAACUUGUUGCAAGCCCACAACAUCAACUUCUUCAAGGAAGAGAAAUGUUAGGUAUUCUCUUUAGCUUUGGACAAUAGUUCAAGUUCAAUAAAUGAAGACAAGGAAAUGCGGUGGCAAUGUCUUCUCCGAACCAAUCCUCCCAUUUGUACAUACUCCCAAAGUGCAGUCUCUGCAGCCAACGACCUUCCGGUCUAUUGGUACAUUGGUCGCCGAUAGAGCUCUCACCGAGUGGUGAGAGUUCGAUUCUCGGCUGAGGGCACAUUUCUGGGAGUUGUGAA